UUAUCCUCUAAGUCGUCUCUUUCAUCUUCUUCUUCUUCAAUAGAAGCCCUACCUAGAACCAAAAGGCAACAAAAAUCUUCUACCAACACGAGCCACUUCCUUCGCGAGAAACCCUUGCCGCAGAAGUCACCGGUAAAGUCUCAUAUCUCGAUGGGAUUCGACCAACCCACACCGCAGCCACCUUCUUGAACGAAACACAAGCGACGAAUCCCCCGUGACCACCGUUGACCGGAGCAAACCUAGAUUUUAUUAUCUCUCUUGAAGUGAGGAAUGAAACUACAGAUUGUUUUCACCAUUUGCUGCUUCUAGAUCUGAUGGAAGCUGCGUGGGGAAGAAAUACGUUGCGUUUGUUGCAGAUCCUCUAAAACCAUUUGCAGAAGAUUCGAUUCGUGUUAUUUCGGUAGAUAGCUGAUCGAGUAAGAUUCAAUCGUUUGUCUAAUCUUCUUUUCUAAGCAGAUUGUGUGAAUCAAUUUUUGUAUAUGAUUGGGACUGUUAUUUUCUGUGGUUCAAUGUGUUUGAUUUGUAUUUGGCUAAGAAUCUAAUUACUUUUGGUGGUUGAUUAUGUAGCAAAAACUAGUUUUAUCUUGAGACAUCUUACUAGGUAGAUGGUAAGAUUGAGAAGAAGCGUGAACAUCAAAGAGUGCAAAGCCUCGAGAAGUUUAAAUAUAAGAGUUUUAUUAGUUUA